GAGUGGCGACCAACUUAGUCUGAAUCAAGCAAAGCAAGAACGAUUAGAGAAUCAUUUCAAGUUCACAAGUAUAAAAAGCGAUCAUAAACGGUUGGUUAAUCAUUGCAAUCGCAACUCUUGCAACAUGAAUUUCCAACUGCUCAUCGGCUUUGUGCUGGCCUUACUCGCUGUGGCUUUCGCCAAUCCCAAUCCUUUGCCAAAUCCUGAACCGUAUCCAGGAGGCGGUGGUGGUGGCGGCGGCGGCGGUGGCGGCGGUGGUGGUGGCGGUGGCGGUGGCAAGUAAAUUUCAAAACACCGCUUACGAUAACGAAUUGUUAAGGAUCUAGACUAACUGUAAAUAUGUACAUAAAUGAUAAAUAAAUGUGAAUCAAGUGGUCCAGCCUGAGUUCACCAACAAUGGAAA